rnacentral:rRNA from 1 species
UACGAAGGGGGCUAGCGUUGCUCGGAAUCACUGGGCGUAAAGGGUGCGUAGGCGGGUCUUUAAGUCAGGGGUGAAAUCCUGGAGCUCAACUCCAGAACUGCCCUUCGAUACUGAAAGACUUGAGUCCCGGGAGAGGGUGAGUGGAACUGCGAGUGUAGAGGUGAAAUUCGUAGAUAUUCGCAAGAACACCAGUGGCGAGGCGGCUCACUGGCCCGGUACUGACGCUGAGGUGCGAAAGCGUGGGGAGCAAACAGG